GGCGCCGAGUGGUCCAGCGGUCUAAAGCGCUGCCACUAUGAGCAGGAGGUCGCAGGUUCGAACCCCAGCUCAUGCAGCUUUGCCAUCAAGCUGCCGGCGUCAGAGGGAGCAAAAUUGGCCCUGCUCCCUCUGGGUGGGUAGAUGGCGCUCUCUCCCCACAUCACUCCUAGGGUAAUGUCUGCAGCACAGGGCGUCUGUGAGCUGAUGUACCGGAGCCGAGCAGCUGUGCUUUCCUCCAAGCGCACUGGCUGCUCGGCAAUGCUGCAUCAGCAGCAGCUCGAAAAGAAGCGGUGGCUGGCUUCACAUGUAUCGGAGGAAGCAUGUGCUAGUCUUCACCCUCCUGGUGUGUUGUGGCAUUACUAGUGAUAUGGGGAGUCCUAAUGAGUGGGUUGGGUAAUUGGCCGUGUAAAUUGGGGAGAAAAAUGG